rnacentral:rRNA from 1 species
GAUGAACGCUGGCGGCGUGCCUAAUACAUGCAAGUCGAGCGAACAGACGCGGAGCUUGCUCCUCUGACGUUAACGGCGGACGGGUGAGUAACACGUGGAUAACCUACCUAUAAGACUGGGAUAACUUCGGGAAACCGGAGCUAAUACCGGAUAAUAUAUUGAACGGCAUGGUUCAAUAGUGAAAGACGGUUUUGCUGUCACUUAUAGAUGGAUCCGCGCCGCAUUAGCUAGUUGGUAAGGUACCGGCUUACCAAGGCGACGAUGCGUAGCCGACCUGAGAGGGUGAUGGGGCACACUGGGACUGAGACACGGUCCAGACUCCGACGGGAGGCAGAGGUAGGGAAGCGUCCGCAAUGGGCGAAAGCCUGACGGAGCAGCGCCGCGCGAGUGAUGAAGGUCUUCGGAUCGUAAGACGCUGUUAUUAGGGAAGAACAAAUGUAUAAGUAACUAUGCACGUCGUGACGGUACCUAAUCAGAAAGCAACGGCUAACUACGUG